CAGCUCGUGUCGUGAGGUGUUGGGUUUAAGUCCCGCAACGAGCGCAACCCUUUGUCUUUUAGUUUGCCAUCAUUAAGUUUGGGCACUCUAAAGAGACUGCCGAUGACAAAUCGGAGGAAGGUGGGGAUGACGUCAAAUCAUCAUGCCCUUUAUGUCCUGGGCUACACACGUGCUACAAUGGUCGGUACAACGAGAAGCAAGUCAGCGAUGGCAAGCAAAUCUCUAAAAGCCGAUCCCAGUUCGGAUUGCAGGCUGCAACUCGCCUGCAUGAAGUCGGAGUUGCUAGUAAUCGCGGAUCAGAAUGCCGCGGUGAAUGCGUUCCCGGGUCUU
rnacentral:rRNA from 2 species